rnacentral:snRNA from 1 species
GUGCUUGCUUGGCAGCAUAUAUACUAAAAUUGGAAUGAUACAGAGAAGAUUAGCAUGGCCCCUGCACAAGGAUGACAUGCAAAUUCAUAAAGAGUUCCAUAUUUUU